rnacentral:misc_RNA from 1 species
AACGCACCUUGCGCUCCUUAGGAGCAUGCCUGUUCGAGUGUCGUUAAUAUCUCAAAACCUUACUGGCUUUUUCCUGUUAAGGCUUUUGGAUUUUGGGGGUUUUUCUUUGCUGGCCUUCAAAGUAUAAUGAGGGUCUGCUCCCCUUAAAUGUAUUAGCUGGUAUGCCAUUCCAUCUACUGGUGUGAUAAUUAUCAACGCUGUUAGGUCGAGUUUGGUACCGCUUCUAACAGUCCAUACCGGACAAUUAAUGACAUUUUGACCUCGAAUCAGGUAGGACUACCCGCUGAACUUAA